rnacentral:rRNA from 1 species
AAUCAACGCUGGCGGCGUGCCUAACACAUGCAAGUCGAACGAGAACGCCCGCCUUUGGCGGGUUAGUAGAGUGGCGAACGGGUGAGUAACGCGUGGGUAAUCUGCCCUCAAGUGGGGGAUAACUCGGGAAACCCGGGCUAAGACCGCAUAAGCCCUUUGGGGGAAAAGCAGUGAUGUUGCUUGAGGAGGAGCCCGCGUCUGAUUAGCUGGUUGGUGGGGUAAGAGCCUACCAAGGCGACGAUUGGUAGCCGGUCUGAGAGGACGGACGGCCACACUGGGACUGAGACACGGCCCAGACUCCUACGGGAGGCAGCAGUGGGGAAUUUUGGGCAAUGGGGGAAACCCUGACCCAGCAACGCCGCGUGGAGGAAGAAGGUUUUCGGAUCGUAAACUCCUGUCCCGAGGGACGAAGCAAGUGACGGUACCUUGGGAGGAAGCCCCGGCUAACUCCGUG